rnacentral:rRNA from 1 species
GAUCAUGGCUCAGGAUGAACGCUAGCUACAGGCUUAACACAUGCAAGUCGAGGGGCAGCAUGGCCUUAGCUUGCUAAGGCUGAUGGCGACCGGCGCACGGGUGAGUAACACGUAUCCAACCUGCCGUCUACUCUUGGCCAGCCUUCUGAAAGGAAGAUUAAUCCAGGAUGGGACCAUGAGUUCACAUGUCCGCAUGAUUAAAGGUAUUUUCCGGUAGACGAUGGGGA